rnacentral:lncRNA from 1 species
GGUCGCCGAGGAGGGAGUGGUCGAGAGGAGGCUCAGCAUCGCUCUCAACCAUGGCCCCCCUUCGACCCGGGGCUCGUGUGGGAAGGAUCAGAGCCACUGUCUCACCAUGGCGGACGGAGAGGGGAGAAGAAGCGCACGUGGCAUGGUGGCGCCACUGCCCAUGAUGGCCGCAGGGCCAGCGCCACAAGGCAAGAUGGACGCCAGCCCAGCGCCACAGCACAAGGUGGCCGCUGAGACAUUUUUGGAUUACUUCUCCAUGUUGAACAAGAUCCUAGAGAUAUUUUUGGAUUACUUCUCCAUGUUGAACAAGAUCCUAGAGAUUCCCAGGAGUGUUCACGUCACGGCUGCUGAGCCAGCGCCACAGUCCAAGAUGGCCGCCAACCCAGCGCCACAGCACAAGAUGGCCGCCAGCUCAGCGUGCCCAGCGCCACAGCACGAGAUGGCCGCUAACCCAGCGCCACAGCACAAGGUGGUCGCCAGCCCAGCACCACAGCACAAGAUGGCCGCCAGCUCAGCGCCACAGCACAAGAUGGCUGCUAACCCAGCGCCAAUGUCGAAGUUGGCCACCGGUCCACAGUCAUGGCCCAAGAUGGCUGCCAGCCCAGCGCCACAGCACAAGAUGGCCGCCAGCCCAGCGCCACAGCAUGAGAUGGCCGAAUCCACACCUGUGUCGCCAGACAAGAUGGCCGACUCAAUGCCUGAGUCUCUGGACAAGCUACCACCGACUCGCCGUCAUAGAGGGCAAAGGAGGAGACAGGGAUCGACCGUUCCUCAAGGCCCGGAGGCCGUUCCCGAGCAGGCCGCUGCCGUCCCGGAGGCUGUUCCCGAGCAGUCCGCUGCCGGGAGGCCAAUACGGUGCCCGAGGCGGUUCUUGAGGCCGAGGCGGUUCCUGAGGCCGUUCCUGAGGCAGUGCCUGAUGCUGUUCCGGAGGCCGAGGCGGGUGCCCGAAUGCUGUUCCGGAGGCCGAGGCGGUGCCCCAUGCCGAGGUGGUGCCCAAUGCUGUUCCGGAGGCCCGAUGCUGUUCCGGAGGCCGAGGCGGUGCCCCAUGCCGUGGUGGUGCAGGAUGUGGUUCUGGAGGCUGAUGCGGGGCCCGAGGCCGUUCCCGAUGCGGUGCCCGAGAUGGUUCCCAAAGCCGAGGCGCUUCAUGUCUCCACAGGGGCCCCGGAAUGGCAGGUUCCGUCCUGGCCAUUCAAAUGGCGGGUUCCUCCCUGGCCGGCUGCGCAAUCGGAACUGACUGAGCCUCUGUGGCCACCUGAACUGCCUGGUCCCUCGUGGUCCCCUGAACUUCUCACCGUGUCUCCUUGUAUCCCAGACGUGACAAGGAUGGCCUUUCCCAGAUGACAGCUGGCAUGCCUGGUGCUAUUGUACAGUUAAACACAUAUUGAAUAAUAAAAUGAAUAGGCUCUACAUGAAGAAAAAAAAAACAAUUCACUUUAUUUGGCAAGUUUUUGCACACAUUUUAAAUAAAUUUCACAUAUGGAAUUAAGUAAACUCCACUUAACUAAGUUAAAUGAAA